rnacentral:rRNA from 1 species
CCCCUAGACGUUCUGGGCUGCACGCGCGCUACAAUAAUACGCACAGCGAGUAUCACCGAGCUCGAAAGGGCAAGGUAAACAAUAGAAAAGGUACUGUAAUGGUUAUAGAUCCUUGUAAUUAUUGAUCUUCAACGAGGAAUUCCUAGUAAGUAUGUGUCAUCAUCACGCACUGAUUACGUCCCUGCCCUUUGUACACACCGCCCGUCGCUCCUACCGAGUGGGUGAGCCGAUGAAACUCUCGGAUGUAGGCUAUUCAUAGCCCGCAGAAGAGAUUUGAAUCGUAGCGCUUAGAGGAAGGAGAAGUCGUAACA